UGUUUGGUUUUAUUGGCUUGGAAUCUUGGAGUUUGUUCCUCUCAAGGUCUCAGGUUCGAAUCUCUCUCAAGUGUCAAUUUCGUUGGGUUAGCUUGACUUCUUCAGAAAAUUAAGAAAAAGGUCGUACCGGUUAUUGAAGAUGACAUAAGGCAGGAAACAGUUCCCAGCACCUCGGUUCAUGUCUUGGAGAAAAUUUCCGAAUCUACAGAGACACAGGAAGGUGACACUAUUGCAACAGCUCAGCCUCUCUUUACUGAUGUCAUAGAAUUAAAAGUACGUACUCAGACAAAUAACGCAAAAAAUGAAAAUAGUUCAGACCAGAAUGUUGAUCUCACUGCCCCUGUGCGUGUAGCACAUGUUCAUCACCAAGAGAUUCUGAUUUCAAAGAAUGUCUAGAGUGACUUGCACCUUUGUGCACAGAUUCGUGAAUAUGAUAAACGGAUGGCAGAGGAAGGAUUCCGGGAAGUACUAUCCAAAAAGCAGCAAAAAUAAGUAAAAAGACAAGUCUUACGAAAGGUUUCGUACAACACACGGGCAAAGGGGUAAGAAAAUCAUUUGCAAACUUUAUGAGAAAGAGGCAAGAGAGAAGAAAAGUGGAUCUGCAGAGAAAGGGGAGGAAACUCCAGAACCAAAAAGAAGAGGAAGAUUCAAGCUUGUCGAAGUCUAGCUAUGAAGAUUAAGAGAUCUAAUCAGGAGAAACUACACGACUUUUUGGAAACAACGGGUAGAGGUAGAAACAUAGAGAAUCCUUGAUUAUUUGGUUUGUUUGAGAAAGGUAAAUGUUAUUUAAUUAUCAUAGAUAUAUAAUCAAUAUAUAAUAAUUAUUAUUAUUUAUUUUCAAUGUAUUAAUAUUAAGAAAAA
rnacentral:lncRNA from 1 species